rnacentral:ribozyme from 15 species
AGUGACGACGUCUUGUAAACCACCAAACAUCUGAUUUAAGUCAACAACAACAACAGUACGAUCGAAAAUAACAGCGUCAUUUGUUUUCGGUUUCUUGUAAUUUUUUCCUUCUUUUUUCUUUUUUUCUCGUAUUUCUUCUCGUGC